AAGUAUGGGUAGCAAACAGGAUUAGAUACCCUGGUAGUCCAUACCGUAAACGAUGAAUGAUAAGUGUUGGAGGGUUUCCGCCCUUCAGUGCUGCAGCUAACGCAUUAAGCAUUCCGCCUGGGGAGUACGGCCGCAAGGCUGAAACUCAAAGGAAUUGACGGGGGCCCGCACAAGCGGUGGAGCAUGUGGUUUAAUUCGAAGCUACGCGAAGAACCUUACCAGGUCUUGACAUACUAUGCAAAUCUAAGAGAUUAGACGUUCCCUUCGGGGACAUGGAUACAGGUGGUGCAUGGUUGUCGUCAGCUCGUGUCGUGAGAUGUUGGGUUAAGUCCCGCAACGAGCGCAACCCUUAUUAUCAGUUGCCAGCAUUAAGUUGGGCACUCUGGUGAG
rnacentral:rRNA from 1 species